AUGGCCAGGAAUAUGCGCGGCUACCAGGCCAGCAGCUCUAGCGCUGCCAGAACCUGGGCGCGCGCGCCGUCCUGCACCAUCAAGCCGCCCCAACAGGAAGAGCGAGGGCAGCACUCGGAUCUCACCGGGCAGCACCUCCCACCGCCGCCGCAGUUUGCGCAGCCGUUCUGGAUGUCGUUUAGGGGAGGAAGUUCUUCACCGUUGAUGCGAGAGAUCGUCACCGGCGGGCUGUCGCACUGGCUGCCCGAUGAGUUCUGCGGGGUGACGCUCAUGGCCGACAAAGAGUUCCCCGGUGUAUGCCGCUGGGCGAAGGCCUACAUCGAUGACGAGCACGUGAAGCGGUGGCUUUCUUUUUUUUUUGAGACAAACGUGAAGCGGUGGCUGCCAGACAGGGGGGCGCUCGUCGCCAUCAGGGUCGGGCCCAUAGAGGAAGCCGAAUCGUCGGAUCGAUCAAAGGAUCGCAAACAAGCGAAAGCACUUGCGUCGCUACAAGCUACAGCGUACAGGAAACAUGAUCAUCCAUCGUUGGAUCGAUCGGCCUCGGCGACAGUUCUUACGACGCUGCUCGAUCGGAUCAUUGGAAACGGGAUCGUUGGAUCGAUCGGCAACAGUUCCAGACUCCAGAACACCGGCAAGGGGCGGCACGGCGACAGUUCCAGACUCCAGAACACCGGUGAUGGGUGGCACGGCGACAGUUCGUCUGAUCCUCUCGCCAAAACAGCUGCAUCAAUCCUAGUGAGCAUCCUCUACCUGUCAAGUAGCAUUUUAAUUACAGCUUCCCUCGCCACCAAGCUUCUCCUUUUGACCAUACCAAUUGAUAAGACCAAAUGA
rnacentral:rRNA from 1 species